GAUGAACGCUGGCGGCGUGCCUAAUACAUGCAAGUCGAGCGAACGGACGAGAAGCUUGCUUCUCUGAUGUUAGCGGCGGACGUGUGAGUAACACGUGGAUAACCUACCUAUAAGACUGGGAUAACUUCGGGAAACCGGAGCUAAUACCGGAUAAUAUUUUGAACCGCAUGGUUCAAAAGUGAAAGACGGUCUUGCUGUCUCUUAUAGAUGGAUCCGCGCUGCAUUAGCUAGUUGGUAAGGUAACGGCUUACCAAGGCAACGAUGCAUAGCCGACCUGAGAGGGGGAUCGGCCACACUGGAACUGAGACACGGUCCAGACUCCUACGGGAGGCAGCAGUAGGGAAUCUUCCGCAAUGGGCGAAAGCCUGACGGAGCAACGCCGCGUGAGUGAUGAAGGUCUUCGGAUCGUAAAACUCUGUUAUUAGGGAAGAACAUAUGUGUAAGUAACUGUGCACAUAUUGACGGUACCUAAUCAGAAAGCCACGGCUAACUACGUG
rnacentral:rRNA from 1 species